UACGUAGGGUGCAAGCGUUAAUCGGAAUUAUUGGGCGUAAAGAGCUCGUAGGCGGUUUGUCGCGUCUGCCGUGAAAGUCCGGGGCUUAACCCCGGAUCUGCGGUGGGUACGGGCAGACUAGAGUGAUGUAGGGGAGACUGGAAUUCCUGGUGUAGCGGUGAAAUGCGCAGAUAUCAGGAGGAACACCGAUGGCGAAGGCAGGUCUCUGGGCAUUAACUGACGCUGAGGAGCGAAAGCAUGGGGAGCGAACAGG
rnacentral:rRNA from 1 species